rnacentral:rRNA from 1 species
UACGUAGGGUCCAAGCGUUGUCCGGAUUUAUUGGGCGUAAAGAGCUCGUAGGCGGUCUGUCGCGUCGGCUGUGAAAACCCGGGGGCUCAACCCCGGGCCUGCAGUCGAUACGGGCAGACUAGAGUGCGGUAGGGGAGACUGGAAUUCCUGGUGUAGCGGUGAAAUGCGCAGAUAUCAGGAGGAACACCGGUGGCGAAGGCGGGUCUCUGGGCCGUAACUGACGCUGAGGAGCGAAAGCGUGGGGAGCGAACAGG